rnacentral:rRNA from 1 species
AACGAACGCUGGCGGCAUGCCUAACACAUGCAAGUCGAACGAGACCUCCGGGUCUAGUGGCGCACGGGUGCGUAACGCGUGGGAACCUGCCCUUAGGUUCGGAAUAACUCCCCGAAAGGGGUGCUAAUACAGGAUAAUGUCUUCGGACCAAAGAUUUAUCGCCUUUGGAUGGGCCCGCGUUGGAUUAGCUAGUUGGUAGGGUAAAAGCCUACCAAGGCGACGAUCCAUAGCUGGUCUGAGAGGAUGAUCAGCCACACUGGGACUGAGACACGGCCCAGACUCCUACGGGAGGCAGCAGUGGGGAAUAUUGGACAAUGGGCGAAAGCCUGAUCCAGCAAUGCCGCGUGAGUGAUGAAGGCCUUAGGGUUGUAAAGCUCUUUUACCCGGGAUGAUAAUGACAGUACCGGGAGAAUAAGCUCCGGCUAACUCCGUG